AUUGCUUUUAUAUAAGGCUUGUAAAGGAUUAGGUAGUUGGUGGGAUAAAAGCUUACCAAGCCGAUGAUCUUUAGCUGGUUUGAGAGAAUGAUCAGCCACACCGGAACUGAAAUACGGUCCAGACUCUUUUAGGAGGCAGCAGCGAGGAAUUUUGGACAAUGGGCGAAAGCUUGAUCCAGCAAUACUACGUAAGUGAUACAUUGAAGGUUUCUUGAUUGUAAAGCUUUAAAAUUUUUGAACAUAGUGAUAGUAUUAAAAUAUUAAGUUCCGACUAACUUCGUGCCAGCAGUCGCGGUAAUACGGGGGGAACGAGUGUUAUUCAAAUUUACUGGGCGUAAAGGGCAAGUAGACGGUAAAUAUUAUUAGUAUUAAAGAUUAACAUUCAAUGUUAAUAGUCAAACUAAAAUGUAUUUGCUUGAGUUUAGGGGAAGAUAGCAGUAUUUUGAGAGUAGAAGUAAAAUUCGAGAAUUCUUAAAAAGACUUUCAUUGGCGAAAGCGGUUAUCUAAAAUAAACUGACGUGAGAGGCGAAGCAUAGGUAGCAACAGGAUUAGAUACCCUGGUAGUCUAUAGCUGUAAACGAUGAAUGUUCAAUGUUUGUCACAUUAAGGUUUCAGAAUUUUAGCUUACGCAUUAAGCAUUCCGCCUGAGUAGUACGGUUGCUAGAUUAGAAUUCAUAGAAAUUGACGGAAGCUUGUACAAGCGGUGGAGCAUGUGGUUUAAUCCGAUACAACGCGUAGAAUCUUACCAACUUUUGAUGUUAACUUCAUA
rnacentral:rRNA from 1 species